AGGAGCCGUAUGAGGUGAAAAUCUCAUGUACGAUUCUGUUUUAAAAAACUGUUUUUCAAAAUAACAAACGAAACACGUUUUUUGCCAUUUGAAAAAAU
rnacentral:ncRNA from 1 species